rnacentral:rRNA from 1 species
GUGCAGCAGGCGCGAAACCUUUACACUGCACGCCAGUGCGAUAAGGGGACCCCAAGUGCGCAGGCAUAGUGCCUGCGCUUUUCUGGACUGUAGGGCGGUCCAGGAACAAGGGCUGGGCAAGACCGGUGCCAGCCGCCGCGGUAAUACCGGCAGCCCAAGUGAUGGCCGCUGUUAUUGGGCCUAAAGCGUCCGUAGCUGGCCGCACAAGUCCGUCGGGAAAUCCGCCCGCUCAACGGGCGGCCGUCCGGCGGAACCUGUGUGGCUUGGGACCGGGAGGCCUGAGGGGUACGAUCGGGGUAGGAGUGAAAUCCUGUAAUCCCGCUCGGACCGCCGAUGGGGAAACCACCUCAGGAGAACGGAUCCGACAGUGAGGGACGAAAGCCAGGGUCUCGAACCGGAUUAGAUACCCGGGUAGUCCUGGCCGUAAACGAUGCUUGUUAGGUGUGACUCCCACUACGAGUGGGUGUUGUGCCGUAGGAAGCCGCUAAACAAGC